rnacentral:rRNA from 1 species
AUGAACGCUGGCGGCGUGCCUAAAACAUGCAAGUCGAGCGAACGGACGAGAAGCUUGCUUCUCUGAUGUUAGCGGCGGACGGGUGAGUAACACGUGGAUAACCUACCUAUAAGACUGGGAUAACUUCGGGAAACCGGAGCUAAUACCGGAUAAUAUUUUGAACCGCAUGAUUCAAAAGUGAAAGACGGUCUUGCUGUCACUUAUAGAUGGAUCCGCGCUGCAUUAGCUAGUUGGUAAGGUAACGGCUUACCAAGGCAACGAUGCAUAGCCGACCUGAGAGGGUGAUCGGCCACACUGGAACUGAGACACGGUCCAGACUCCUACGGGAGGCAGCAGUAGGGAAUCUUCCGCAAUGGGCGAAAGCCUGACGGAGCAACGCCGCGUGAGUGAUGAAGGUCUUCGGAUCGUAAAACUCUGUUAUUAGGGAAGAACAUAUGUGUAAGUAACUGUGCACAUCUUGACGGUACCUAAUCAGAAAGCCACGGCUAACUACGUG